AGUGAACGCUGGCGGCGUGCUUAACACAUGCAAGUCGAACGAGAACGGGUUAUAGCUUGCUAUAAUUGUCAGCUAAGUGGCGCACGGGUGAGUAAUGUAUAGCCAAUAUGCCUCUUACUAAGGGAUAACAAAUGGAAACGUUUGCUAAUACCUUAUACUCCUUCUUAACAGAAGUUAAUAAGGGAAAGAUUUACUGGUAAGAGAUUAGCCUGUAUUGUAUCAGUUAGUUGGUGGGGUAAUGGCUUACCAAGACUAUGACAGAUAACUGGUUUGAGAGGAUGAUCAGUCACACUGGAACUGAGACACGGUCCAGACUCCUACGGGAGGCAGCAGUGGGGAAUAUUGCACAAUGGACGAAAGUCUGAUGCAGCAACGCCGCGUGGAGGAUGACACAUUUCGGUGCGUAAACUCCUUUUAUAUGAGAAGAUAAUGACGGUAUUAUAUGAAUAAGCACCGGCUAACUCCGUGCCAGCCGCCGCAGUAA
rnacentral:rRNA from 1 species